UACGGGGGGAGCAAGCGUUGUUCGGAUUUACUGGGCGUAAAGGGCGCGUAGGCGGCCACCGCAAGUCGAUUGUGAAAUCUCCGGGCUUAACCCGGAAAGGUCAACCGAUACUGCGGGGCUAGAGUGCAGAAGGGGCAACUGGAAUUCUCGGUGUAGCGGUGAAAUGCGUAGAUAUCGAGAGGAACACCUGCGGCGAAGGCGGCGAUCUGGGAAGAUACUGACGCUGAGGUGCGAAAGCGUGGGGGAGCAAACAGG
rnacentral:rRNA from 1 species